CCUGUAAAUACAUUUACUGUACAUACAUCAUGCAUAGCACUCAUGCAGCUCAUCUGCUAAAGCAGGUUUACUUUGGUUUAGUUAUCCUAAUUAGGGGUUGUUGGUGGUUGGCAUCCAAUACACUUUUAUGGUCUAUGUAAAUACUGUUAAUCAUAUAGUCUUGUUGAUACUGAUCCUAGUUACUUACAAUUUCUGGUUAUCCAUUAUUGCUACUCUUCUGUUUCUCCACCUAUUCUAC